CUCCGGGUGGUCUCGAAACUGAAAGCACCCCACUCAUCAGCAUCGCAAUAUCAUGAAGAUGCUGCGGAGUGUCAGAAGGGCCUUUGCACCUGUGCUCAGCACCGCAAGAAAACACAUACAGAUUGUC
rnacentral:ribozyme from 1 species